GGGAAGGAGGAGGCAGACGGAACGUUAAAAAGAGAAGGAGGUUUCCCCCCCCCCCCCUCUUCUCCAGCGUUCCGUCUGCUUCCUCCUCCCCU
rnacentral:pre_miRNA from 1 species